GAGCCAGACUCCUACGGGAGGCAGCAGUGAGGAAUAUUGGUCAAUGGGCGGGAGCCUGAACCAGCCAAGCCGCGUGAGGGAAGAAGGUACAGCGUAUCGUAAACCUCUUUUGUCAGGGAACAAAGGCGGGGACUAGUCCCCGGAUGAGGGUACCUGAAGAAAAAGCAUCGGCUAACUCCGUGCCAGCAGCCGCGGUAAUACGGAGGAUGCGAGCGUUAUCCGGAUUUAUUGGGUUUAAAGGGUGCGCAGGCGGCCUGUUAAGCCAGGGGUAAAAGCCCGGGGCUCAACCCCGGCGAGCCGUUGAAACUGGCGGGCUGGAGUUGGAGAGAAGUACGCGGAAUGCGCGGUGUAGCGGUGAAAUGCUUAGAUAUCACGAAGAACUCCGAUUGCGAAGGCAGCUUACCAGUCUGCGACUGACGCUCAGGCACGAAAGUGUGGGUAUCGAACAGGAUUAGAUACCCCCGUA
rnacentral:rRNA from 1 species